rnacentral:rRNA from 1 species
CCAAUAGCGUAUAUUAAAGUUGUUGCAGUUAGAAAGCUCGUAGUUGAAUUUCGGGAUCAAUAUAUCGGUCGUGCCUUGGUACGUACUGGUAUCAUUGGUUUCUCCUUUCUGACGAACCAUGAUGUCAUUAAUUUGGUGUUAUGGGAAGUUAGGACUGUUACUUUGAAAAAAUUAGAGUGUUUAAAGCAGGCUUUAGCUUGAAUACAUUAGCAUGGAAUAAUGAAAAAGGACGUUCGAACCUAUUUUGUUGGUUUCUAGGAUCAACGUAAUGAUUAAUAGGGAUAGUUGGGGGCAUUAGUAUUCAAUUGUCAGAGGUGAAAUUCUUGGAUUUAUUGAAGACUAACUACUGCGAAAGCAUUUGCCAAGGAUGUUUUCAUUAAUCAAGAACGAAAGUUAGGGGAUCGAAGACGAUCAGAUACCGUCGUAGUCUUAACCAUAAACUAUGCCGACUAGGGAUCGGAUGAUGUUAAUUUUUUAAUGACUCAUUCGGCGCCUUACG